rnacentral:rRNA from 1 species
GACGAACGCUGGCGGCGUGCCUAAUACAUGCAAGUCGAACGCAGUGGGGACGGGUGAGUAACACGUGGGUAACCUCCCAUCAGAGGGGAUAACACUUGGAAACAGGUGCUAAACCGAUACUGAUGGAUGGACCCGUGGUGCAUUAGCUAGUUGGGGAGGUAAAGUCUCACCAAGGCCACGAUGCAUAGCCAACCUGAGAGGGUGGUCGGCCACACUGGGACUGAGAAGCGGGCCAGAAUCCUACGGGAGGCAGCAGGAGGGAACCUUCGGCAAUGGAGGAAAGUCUGACCGAGCAACGCCGCGUGAGUGAAGAAGGUUUGCGGAUCGUAAAACUCUGUUGUUAGAGAAGCGGUAUCUAACCAGAAAGCCACGGCUAACUACGUGCCAGCCGCCGCGGUAAUUC